CAAAUGCUUUGUUUGUAUCUUUUUAAAUAUAGUUAUGGCAAAAGAAUCUAAAAAUUGUACAAAUCGAACACCACUUGGAAUGAGAAAUGGAUACAUAAAAACCAACCAACUUACAGCUUCAUCAAUUUAUAAUGAUAAAAACAGUCCAAAUAUGGGAAGACUAAAUAAUAGAUAUUGUUGGUGUACAAGGCCAUGGGAAUUAUCAGGAUGGUAUCAGGUUCAGUUUGAAAACAUAACAACUGUUAGUGGUAUUGCACUUCAAGAUUGUGGAGAUAAGUGGUCGAAUAACAUAAACAAGUUUUUUUUUAAUUAUUCUCUCACAAAAAAUGGAAACUUUAAUAAUGGCCAGAUACUUGAUGGUGUAAGUAAUAACACUGAAGUGGUGUACCGAUGGUUUUCAUAUCCUAUUAAUGCUCUACGUAUUAGAAUCUUUCCUCUUGCUCGUGGAGAAAAUAAUUAUACAUGCCUUCGAAUUGAAUUAUUUGGUUGUUUAAGUAAUCCUUUUGAAGAAAUCGGAAUGGAAAGUCAAAUAAUUUUAGACUCACAGAUUUCUGUAAGUGCAAAUUCAAAAGGUGGCAUAUCACAAGCACGCAUGUAUUAUGAGUCUGGUGAUUUUUAUUCCUAUCAUAACAGAGAACUGUAUAUACAAAUUGAUAUGAUUCAUGUGAUGAGUAUUAGUGGUGUGGCAAUGAAAGGUUCUGAUUCUUGGUGGUUUAGCUAUAAUGUUGUUCAAAGUUAUUUGGUUUAUCUUGGUAUAAAAGAUAAUUUAGGUUUUGUAGGUGAGUAUCCUGGUAACUUUCAAUUUGGUUACUCCCCUGUUUUAUCGACUCUGAAUAAUACAAAAGUUGGCAGUCAGAUUAAAAUUGUUAGAAAAACUUCAUCUAAAAAUAGCCUUGAGUAUAGCUACAUGGCUGUUGAGAUUUAUGGAAAACGUCUAAUUUGUAGUGAUGUAUUUGUUCCAGCAUUUGCUGAAAUGUCUUCGACACUCAGAUUUAAGAUAAUGGAAGCAUAUAUUGAUAGCCCAUUUACAUGGUGUGCCUUAUCUAAUGAUAGUAAACCAUAUAUAAUAAUUGAGUUGAAUCAAGUUUCUGCAAUAUCAGGUAUUAAUGUACAAGGUGAUUCUAACAGUGAUUCAUGGGUAACAAAUUAUCAAAUUUCAUAUGGUGUAGUUAAAUAUAAAAUGAAAAAUGAUAAGAAUUUAUAUAUUGGAAGUAAAGGGCGCAUAUUUCCUUAUACUAUUAACUGGUUUUCAAGUUUGUACCUAGCAAAGUAUAUAAAAGUAAUACCUAAAUCUUGCAACAACAAAUGUUGUAUGCGUAUUCAUGUUAGAGGGUGCACAAAAUCUUUAGAUGCUCCCAUUGAAUUAAGUAUAAAUGAAGACAACAAAAUGUUGAUAUUGAGUUGGAAGAAUUCAGAUUCUCCGGUUUCAGUUUUAAUAUAUAAAAUAAAUGUCCAAUCACUGAAGCCAUAUAACAGCUCAUUCUUUUUUUUCAAUACAAUGAAAACAAAUAUUACAAACAUAACCAUUGAAGUUGACUUUCAUGCAGCCAUCUUUAACAUAUCUGUAGAUGCUGUGUAUGAUGAAGAUUAUUCUGUUAAAGGAGACAGUAUACAGUAUUAUUCCAAACCAAUUUCACCUCCGGCACCAAUUUAUAAAGGGUUAAAAUACUUUAUUAACUACACUGAAGUAUUUGAAUGUCAGUUUUAUAGUGUAUCUGAUAUCAAUGGACCUGUCAGUUUUUAUGAGAUUAUUAUUGCAUAUGAGAACAUAUCUUCAAUGAAUAUGGAAACAUUGACUUUAAAAGAUCAAUCCACUGCUGAAUCAUUAAAUCUUUCCUAUUUUUUGGCUGCAAAAUUGCCAAACAACUUUACUUUUAGCUUUUUAAAAUUUUACGAAGGUAAAGAAAGAGUGGAUAGUUUGAAUGCUAGUUUGUCUACUAUUAGAAAUUUGUUUCUUUAUAUUCGUGCUGUCAUUAACAUGAAGGAUAAUUUUUUCAGUAACUUAACAUAUUAUGGCGAUGUCUUAAUGUUGACUAUAGAUCGUAAAACACUACCUUUAAAUGAUUUAAAAUGGAAUAAAAAUCAUGGAUAUAUCAUUGAGCUAGUGAAGGGACCUUUAAAUACAAAGAUUUAUGAAGUUGUUGCAAUGAAAAUUGAUAAAAGUACAAUUAUUAAAAAUGCUACGUCUACUUAUAAACACUUCAAAGUUUAUGAAACUGCAGAUUAUAAUGAACCUUACAUUGCUGCUUCAUUUAAUGCCUUCAUGUAUGAAAAAUAUAAACAUUUUGUUUUAGGCAACAAUGAAAUUUUUUCAGUUGAUAAGUUUGAAGGUUAUCAAGUUAGUAAUGAUCAAAACAAUACUAAUCAUUAUUUAAAUGGUGAACUGAUUGCUGGUCAAAGAUAUACAUUGUUUCAAAGAAUUAUUCUAGAUGAUGGUCGUAUAUACACAAGUCCAUGGCAACCUGAGUUUAUUGCUUAUUCUAAGUUUACUCCAUUAAUUAAAAAAUCAUCAACACACUUAUAUCUUUUUGGAUUAAUGGUGAUACCUGUUUUAAUUGUCGGUUUGAUCACAUUUUUAAAAACGAGAAAUAAAUUUAAUAAAGAUGACUUGAUGAAGUUUAAAGUAAUUCAUAAUAGAAAUAAUGAAGAUACAAUGCAAUAUCAGGAGUUGUCUUUAAAAUACGAUAAUUCUUACAGUACCCUACAAACUAUUCAGAAAUGGCCACCACUGUCUGUUAAUGAAUUUGCUGCUUAUUACUUGAUUGUAAAAAAAAAUGAUUACAAAGAUCUUGUGAAACAAUAUGAAAGUGUUUCUAAAAAUAAAAUAUAUCCACAUACUGAAGCUAAAAAGUAUCCACAUAAAAAUAGAUAUGCAAAUAUUGUCCCAUAUGAUCAUUCACUUGUCAAAUUAGUUCCUGAUUUCACUAUUUAUGAAAAUACUUAUAUCAAUGCAAAUUACAUACAUUCGUACUUCAAAAAAGUAUCUUACAUUGCAACCCAGGCUCCUAAUAAUGAAACUAUUGUUGACUUUUGGCGAAUGAUUUUUCAUGAAAAGCCUAAAGCUGUGAUUAUGCUUACUAAUCUAGUUGAAAAUGAUAAAAUAAAAUCUGCUCAAUAUUGGCCAGAAAAUUAUAAAGAAUAUGGUGGCCUUAAUGUUUGUGUUAUAAAAACAGAACACUUUGCUGAUUAUAUUAUUCGCUACAUUUCUUUAAAUUUCAAAGAAGUUAAUCAUCAUUUUAUUCAUAUGCAGUUUACAUCUUGGCUUGAUAAUGGAUGUCCUGAAUACCCAACAAUGUUACUAAACUUUUGCCAUCGAUUUCGAUGUUUAGUUCCAUAUUCAGAUAAAUCUCUCACUGUUGUGCACUGCAGUGGUGGAGUUGGUCGCACAGGUGUUUUCAUUUUACUUGAUGAAAUGUUGCAGUUAAUCAAAUCAGAACAAAAAGUUGAUAUUUUUAAUUAUUUUGAAACUAUUCGUCAAAACAGAAUGCAAAUGGUUCAAUCAAAAGAGCAAUACAUAUUUGUUUAUGAUGCAAUUUAUGAAGUAGUAACAUGCGGUCAAACUAGUAUUUCAAUUUCAAAUUUUCCAACAAUUGUUAACAAUCUGCUUAAAAAAGACAUUUCAUCUGGAAAGAAACUCAUAGAGAAUGAAUUUAAAAUGCUUCAAAGUUUUUCUGUAGUUCAAGGCAGCAAUCAGAUAGCAAUGAAGAAUAAAAAUUUACAAAAAAAAAAAUACCCUCAAAUUAUACCUGGAGAAAAUGUGCUGGUAGCAAGUGAAUCUUACCCUAAUACUGUUUUUGUUGACAGUUAUAAAAGAAAGAAAGCGUUUAUAGCAACCCAGUGUCCACUUCAAUCUACUGUCACAGAGUUUUGGUAUGUUUUAAAGAAACACAAUGUUUCAACUAUUGUCUACCUUACCUGCAGAAACGAAAAAAAAGAACCAUCAUAUUUUAAAUUUUAUCCAUCAGCUUGUGAUUUGAAACUUAAUGGUGUCACUGUAAAGUUGCUAGCUGAGGAAAAGCUAGAAUUUGUAAUUAAAAGAAACUUGUCUGUGUCUGUUGAGCAACGUUUUAAGUCGUUCAAGUAUUUUUAUUUCAUGCUUUAAUGCGAUUGAGCAGUUGCAAAUCGAAGGACAGGUUGAUAUAUUUCAGUUGGUGCGACGAGCUCAAUUAUCACACCCUAGUUUUGUUCAGACUUUGCCUCAAUAUGAGUUUGUUUACAAGCUGUUGAAACAUUAUUUGGAAACAUUUUCCGAUUAUUCAAAUUUUACAUGAACAAUUCAAAAAGAAAAAAAUUCUAUA
rnacentral:misc_RNA from 1 species